rnacentral:rRNA from 1 species
GCUAAUACCGGAUACGACCACUUUGGGCAUCCAACGGUGGUGGAAAGGAUUCUGGUCUGGGAUGGGCCCGCGGCCUAUCAGCUUGUUGGUGGGGUAAUGGCCUACCAAGGCGACGACGGGUAGCCGGCCUGAGAGGGCGACCGGCCACACUGGGACUGAGACACGGCCCAGACUCCUACGGGAGGCAGCAGUGGGGAAUAUUGCGCAAUGGGCGAAAGCCUGACGCAGCGACGCCGCGUGAGGGACGAAGGUCUUCGGAUUGUAAACCUCUUUCAGCAGGGACGAAGCGAAAGUGACUGUACCUGCAGAAGAAGCACCGGCUAACUACGUGCCAGCAGCCGCGGUAAUACGUAGGGUGCAAGCGUUGUCCGGAUUUAUUGGGCGUAAAGAGCUCGUAGGCGGUUUGUCGCGUCGGAUGUGAAAACCCAAUGGCUUAACCUUGGGCCUGCAUUCGAUACGGGCAAACUAGAGUGUGGUAGGGGAGACUGGAACUCCUGGUGUAGCGGUGGAAUGCGCAGAU